UCAGAACCACUGAAAAGAAAGUGAAAUAACAGAUAUGGCACACUGUGUGGCCUUGAGCAAGACACUUCACCUGCUGUAUUCCAUGUUCCCCAUCUAGUGAAAACAUAGAGCAGGAAGAAAUGAGACAAGAUUCAGAAGAGGCAGCUUCAACAGAGUAAUUCAAAAUUAUGUGCAUAGCUGGAAGCAAGUCAUAACAUUUUCACCUGAUAAUAUGGUUACUAUGUAAGGAAACAAUGCUUAGAAAUCUUGGAUUAUAGUUUCUCUUUUAGAAUUCAGAUUGAGAGAGCCAAAGCAUUAGUACUGUCUAUCUGCAGUG